UAGUCUUUUAAUUGAAGGCUGGUAUGAAUGGUUGGACNANANANNAACUGUUUCAUAAAAAUUUAUAAUAGAAUUUUAUUUUUUAGUCAAAAAGCUAAAAUAUAUUUAAAAGACGAGGAGACCCUAUAAAUCUUUAUAUUUAAAUUAUUAUAAUUUUAUAGAUUUUUUUUGUUAUAAUAAUUGAUAAUAUUUUAUUGGGGUGAUAUUAAAAUUUAAUAAACUUUUAAUUGUUUAAAUCAUUAAUUUAUGAAUAAUUGAUCCGUUAUUAGCGAUUAAAAAAAUAAGUUACUUUAGGGAUAACAGCGUAAUUUUUUUGGAGAGUUCAUAUCGAUAAAAAAGAUUGCGACCNNGAUGUUGGAUUAAGAUAUAAUUUUAGGUGUAGCCGCUUAAAUUUUAAGUCUGUUCGACUUUUAAAUUCUU
rnacentral:rRNA from 1 species